AGCGAACGCUGGCGGCAGGCUUAACACAUGCAAGUCGAGCGCCGUAGCAAUACGGAGCGGCAGACGGGUGAGUAACACGUGGGAACGUACCUUUUGGUUCGGAACAACACAGGGAAACUUGUGCUAAUACCGGAUAAGCCCUUACGGGGAAAGAUUUAUCGCCGAAAGAUCGGCCCGCGUCUGAUUAGCUAGUUGGUGAGGUAACGGCUCACCAAGGCGACGAUCAGUAGCUGGUCUGAGAGGAUGAUCAGCCACACUGGGACUGAGACACGGCCCAGACUCCUACGGGAGGCAGCAGUGGGGAAUAUUGGACAAUGGGCGCAAGCCUGAUCCAGCCAUGCCGCGUGAGUGAUGAAGGCCCUAGGGUUGUAAAGCUCCUUUGUGCGGGAAGAUAAUGACUGUACCGCAAGAAUAAGCCCCGGCUAACUUCGUGCCAGCAGCCGCGGUAAUACGAAGGGGGCUAGCGUUGCUCGGAAUCACUGGGCGUAAAGCGCACGUAGGCGGACUCUUAAGUCGGUGGUGAAAUCCUGGAGCUCAACUCCAGAACUGCCUUCGAUACUGGGAGUCUCGAGUUCGGGAGAGGUGAGUGGAACUGCGAGUGUAGAGGUGAAAUUCGUAGAUAUUCGCAAGAACACCAGUGGCGAAGGCGGCUCACUGGCCCGAUACUGACGCUGAGGUGCGAAAGCGUGGGGAGCAAACA
rnacentral:rRNA from 1 species